GGAUGAAUUUCCAUUUUGCAGCAGAAACAGACAAUGGACUUGUCACAGCAAUCUUACAGUGCUGUUUGAAUUAGUAGUGGCAGAUAAGUACAACUUCUCAUCAGAUGUGCUCAUGAAGCUCUGAAAACUGCACUGAUUUGGCCUGGUAGAUGAGGUGGUAUCCAAGCAAGAUACAAGAGCAUUUUAUCUCUAAACUGCCUAUUGAGGAAUACCAGAAACCUGUGUCAUUCUGAGGAACGGCUGAGACCUACAUCAUGUGCA